UCUCCACCACUCAUUCCCUCCCCUGCUUCCCGUUCCCCAGUUCUCACCCUGAGCUUUCUACAGUGUUCAUCUUCUUCGUCUCCAUAGAGCUCCAUCAAGCAACAUGCUCCUGAACUCAGCGACGGACAUUGCGGGGAACCGCUUGCUCUAAGGCGCAGCGCGGCUGCUGCAGCAGGGAGGGCACGGGGCUGGCGAGCUCAAUGCAGGAGCCACCGUUGUUGCUGGUACAGGAGGUCCUCAGGCGGGGCUGAAGGUGGACGAGAACGAGACGAUAAAACACAAAACAGACCAGCCAAUCGGGUGAACAAGCGCGCGAGAGCACACGAAUCUGGAGAGAAAUAUCUGAUGGAGGAGCGUCUGAACACGAUCGCCUGACAGGACAGGACGCACAUCCCCUGAAACCUAGAAGCCUCUCAACAGCCAGGGGAUCUCCACCAGCUGAAGAUUUUCUGGUGAUCCCAAAAAGGUGGGCGAUGUCGUCUUCCACCUGACGGCCGGCUUGUGGUCGUGGCCGCCGGCGGUCGCUCAGUCGCGGAUCAUCCCGAUGCCUCCUGAGCUAGCUCAUACCGCGAUCGAUGCCCGUCGCGUCGAGCCCAUGGACUGGCGCCAUGGUUGGCCACGCGUUCUGUGGCCGGGAGUGCCUGGUGUCCCGUGGGAUUGGCCGAUCGCCCAGUUUAUUUCGCCGGCUCCUUUUCCUUUUUAUGUGGAUCAUCUCGCCGCGUUUUCUCCGCGGCUUCCGGCGAUCUGGAGGCCGCGGCGCCGCACGUUCGGGUUCUUGCGGGCAGACGGAGGUGGACGUGCGCCGUCGUCUCCUCCGCGAGUCGCCGUCGUGGCGGCAGAACGCUGGUUGGUUUGUUCCAUCUGAGAUUAUGUACUCUACUGUAAAAUGUGAAUCUGUGAUGGCAUCGUUGAUUGAUUGGAUGGCUCGAUCGAGUCGUGUACCGACCGAUGGCGAUCCAAGGUUUCGGCUGCCAAUGGAGUGUGGCGACCGGUGAGCAGCGAGCUUAUCGUCUUCUUCAAUUCUC